rnacentral:rRNA from 1 species
GAUGAACGCUGGCGGCGUGCCUAAUACAUGCAAGUCGAGCGAACAGACGAGGAGCUUGCUCCUCUGACGUUAGCGGCGGACGGGUGAGUAACACGUGGAUAACCUACCUAUAAGACUGGGAUAACUUCGGGAAACCGGAGCUAAUACCGGAUAAUAUAUUGAACCGCAUGGUUCAAUAGUGAAAGACGGUUUUGCUGUCACUUAUAGAUGGAUCCGCGCCGCAUUAGCUAGUUGGUAAGGUAACGGCUUACCAAGGCAACGAUGCGUAGCCGACCUGAGAGGGUGAUCGGCCACACUGGAACUGAGACACGGUCCAGACUACUACGGGAGGCAGCAGUAGGGAAUCUACCGCAAUGGGCGAAAGCUUGACGGAGCAACGCCGCGUGAGUGAUGAAGGUCUUCGGAUCGUAAAACUCUGUUAUUAGGGAAGAACAAAUGUGUAAGUAACUAUGCACGUCUUGACGGUACCUAAUCAGAAAGCCACGGCUAACUACGUG